rnacentral:rRNA from 1 species
AUGGGGUGCAGCAGGCGAGAAAACUUUGCAAUGAGCGAAAGCACGACAAGGUUAAUCCGAGUGUUUCCUGCUAAAGGAAUCUUUUGUCAGUCAUAACACCACCGACGAAUAAGGGGUGGGCAAGUUCUGGUGUCAGCCGCCGCGGUAAAACCAGCACCUCAAGUGGUCAGGAGGAUUAUUGGGCCUAAAGCAUCCGUAGCCGGCUUUGUAAGUUUUCGGUUAAAUCCAUAUGCUCAACAUAUGGGCUGCCGGGAAUACUGCACAGCUAGGGAGUGGGAGAGGUAGACGGUACUCCAUAGGAAGGGGUAAAAUCCUUUGAUCUGUGGAAGACCACCUGUGACGAAGGCGGUCUACCAGAACACGUUCGACGGUGAGGGAUGAAAGCUGGGGGAGCAAACCGGAUUAGAUACCCGGGUAGUCCCAGCUGUAAACUAUGCAAACUCGGUGAUGCAUUGGCUUGUGGCCAGUGCAGUGCCGCAGGGAAGCCGUUAAGUUUGCCGCCUGGGAAGUACGUACGCAAGUAUGAAACUUAAAGGAAUUGGCGGGGGAGCAC